ACUCACUCGGUGCUUUUUCUUCGCAAACAACCCAAAGAAUCCACUCCCACACUUUCAGUUUGGCACUUACUCUUUUCUUCCUCUUUGCUCUCACCGGGAACCCUAAGUCGAUCUGCCGGAACUCAAAUCCACCGGGAUUUGGUUUUUCUGUGAAUAUCAAUCUAUUCUUCAUCCCUGUUGAUCAAGAAUGCAAUUCUUUGGGGGGUCUGAGAUAAGUCCUUCACCUCCUGCUCCAACAGCUUCAGGAAACAAUGGCCAUAUGAUGUAUGUGUUCAACAGGAAUGGUGUGUGCCUGCUCUAUAGGGAGUGGAAUCGCCCCUUGCGGACAUUGGAUGCUCAGCAAGACCAUAAGUUAAUGUUUGGUCUGCUUUUCUCUCUGAAGUCAUUAACUGCCAAGAUGGACCCCACCAGUGCUGUUGAGAAAGGAAACCUUGGUAUGCCUCAGUUACCUGGUCAAGGUUGUUCAUUUCACAGUUUCCGCACUAAUACAUACAAACUUAGUUUCAUGGAAAGUCCUUCUGGCAUAAAGAUCAUCUUGGUGACUCAUCCUAGAACUGGUGAUCUACGGGAAUCCUUAAAGUAUAUCUACAAUUUGUAUGUUGAAUAUGUUGUCAAGAAUCCACUCUAUACACCUGGAUCUCCUAUUAGUAAAUCAGCAUAGAACCUACCCCCCUACUCACCAGUAACUAUUGCCUCCUAACUAGGCCAACUACUUGUGGACACACCCUUUUAUGCUCUACUGCUAUGCUCCAUUGGUUGUCAGCUAGCCAGUGGACUAGUACGGCCAUAAUCCAGUUCAUACCAUUGGCUAGUGGGUGUGAGCUGUUCAAUACAACGUUGGACCAGUAUGUGAGAGGCAUUGCAUAGAAGCUGAGUUGCUUCCGUUCAACACCGUGGAUGACUUGGAUGGUAUAAUGCCCUGUUUUGUGUAGUGGUCACUGCAUUUCUAGUCAGAAACUUUUAGGGAGAUCCCUAAAGUUUGAGCAAUACCUUCUUUUUUUUUCCAUUUCAUUAAUUUUAUUUUACUCCUACGACUUGUGUGACUCAUUCCAAUAUAUAUAAUAAACUCAAGAUACUUAAAUCAUGUGACUUAUGAUAAGGAUAUUGACACCGACUCUUGGAUAUGGUCAAUAAAUACCUUCGAAAGAUAAAA